rnacentral:rRNA from 1 species
UACGUAGGGGGCAAGCGUUGUCCGGAUUCAUUGGGCGUAAAGAGCUCGUAGGCGGUUCAGUAAGUCGGGUGUGAAAGCUCCGAGCUCAACUCGGAGAGGCCACCCGAUACUGCUGUGACUUGAGUCCAGUGAGAGGAGCGUGGAAUUCCUGGUGUAGCGGUGAAAUGCGCAGAUAUCAGGAGGAACACCAGCAGCGAAGGCGGCGCUCUGGGCUGAACUGACGCUGAGGAGCGAAAGCGUGGGUAGCAAACAGG